GACAGAGGGUGCAAACGUUGUUCGGAAUUACUGGGCGUAAAGCGUGUGUAGGCGGUCUCAUAAGUCGAGUGUGAAAGCCCCGGGCUCAACCCGGGAAGUGCACUCGAAACUGCGAGGCUAGAGUACUGGAGAGGUUGGUGGAAUUCUCGGUGUAGAGGUGAAAUUCGUAGAUAUUCGGAAGAACACCAGUGGCGAAGGCGACUCGCUGGACAAGUAUUGACGCUGAGGUGCGAAAGCGUGGGGAGCAAACAGG
rnacentral:rRNA from 1 species